rnacentral:rRNA from 1 species
GACGAACGCUGGCGGCGUGCCUAAUACAUGCAAGUCGAGCGGAACUGGGGGAGCUUGCUCCUUCCAGCUUAGCGGCGGACGGGUGAGUAACACGUGGGCAACCUGCCCUGCCGAUCGGGGUAACUCCGGGAAACAGGUGCUCAUACCGAUUAGUUUGGCGCCUCUCCUGAGGCUCCACGGAAAGCCGGUUUCGGCUGUCACUGCAGGAUCGGCCCGCGGCGCAUUAGCUAGUUGGUGGGGUAGCGGCCCACCGAGGCGACGAUGCGUAGCCGACCUGAGAGGGUGACCGGCCACACUGGGACUGAGACACGGCCCAGACUCAUACGGGAGGCAGCAGUAGGGAAGCUUCCGCAAUGGACGCAAGUCUGACGGAGCAACGCCGCGUGAGUGACGAAGGUUUUCGGAUCGUAAAACUAUGUUGUGGGGGAAGAACACGUACCAACUAACUAUUGGUACCUUGACGGUACCUCACCAGAAAGCCACGGCUAACUACGUGCCAGCCGCCGCGGUAA